AUUGAACGCUGGCGGCAGGCCUAACACAUGCAAGUCGAACGAGUGGCGGACGGGUUAGUAAUGUCUGGGAAACUGCCUGAUGGAGGGGGAUAACUACUGGAAACGGUAGCUAAUACCGCAUACCAUCAGCUGUGCCCAGAUGGGAUUAGCUAGUUGGUGGGGUAACGGCUCACCAAGGCGACGAUCCCUAGCUGGUCUGAGAGGAUGACCAGCCAAACUGGAACGGAGACACGGUCCAGACUCCUACGGGAGGCAGCAGGGGGGAAUAUUGAACAAGGGGCGCAAGCCGGAUGCAGCAAUGCGGCGUGGAGGAAGAAGGCCUUCGGGUUGUAAAGUACUUUCAGCGGGGAGGCGUGACCCGCAGAAGAAGCACCGGCUAACUCCGUGCCAGCAGCCGCGGUAAUUC
rnacentral:rRNA from 1 species